rnacentral:rRNA from 1 species
GACGAAGGAUGCAAGCGUUAUCCGGAUUCAUUGGGGUUAAAGGGAGCGUAGGUGGCCUUAUAAGUCAGUGGUGAAAUCUUCGAGCUUAACUCGGAAAUUGCCAUUGAUACUGUAGGGCUUGAGUACAGUUGCUGUGGGCGGAAUAUGACAUGUAGUGGUGAAAUACAUAGAGAUGUCAUAGAACACCGAUUGCGAAGGCAGCUCACAAAACUGUAACUGACACUGAGGCUCGAAAGUGCGGGGAUCAAACAGG